GUGGGGAAUCUUGCGCAAUGGGCGAAAGCCUGACGCAGCCAUGCCGCGUGAAUGAUGAAGGUCUUAGGAUUGUAAAAUUCUUUCACCGGGGACGAUAAUGACGGUACCCGGAGAAGAAGCCCCGGCUAACUUCGUUCCAGCAGCCGCGGUAAUACGAAGGGGGCUAGCGUUGCUCGGAAUUACUGGGCGUAAAGGGCGCGUAGGCGGACAGUUUAGUCAGAGGUGAAAGCCCAGGGCUCAACCUUGGAAUUGCCUUUGAUACUGGCUGUCUUGAGUACGGGAGAGGUGAGUGGAACUCCGAGUGUAGAGGUGAAAUUCGUAGAUAUUCGGAAGAACACCAGUGGCGAAGGCGACACACUGGCUCAUUACUGGCGCUGAGGCGCGAAAGCGUGGGGAGCAAACAGGAUUAGAUACCCCAGUAGUCC
rnacentral:rRNA from 1 species